rnacentral:rRNA from 1 species
GCGCACCAGGCGCGAAUACUUUACAAUGUGCGAAAGCACGAUAAGGGAACUCUGAGUGCCUCCUAAGGAGGCUGUUCAGGUGUCUAAAAAGCACCUGGAGUAAGGGCUGGGUAAGACCGGUGCCAGCCGCCGCGGUAACACCGGCAGCCCAGGUGGUAGCCACUUUUAUUGGGUCUAAAGCGUCCGUAGCCGGUUGAGUAAGUUCCUUGGGAAAUUUGGCUGCUCAACAGUCAAGCUUCCAGGGAAUACUGCUCGACUUGGGACUGGGAGAGGUCAGAGGUACUCCAGGGGUAGGGGUGAAAUCCAUUAAUCCCUGGGGGACCACCGGUAGCGAAGGCGUCUGACCAGACCAGGUCCGACGGUGAGGGACGAAGGCUAGGGGCGCGAACCGGAUUAGAUACCCG